rnacentral:rRNA from 1 species
AGCGAACGCUGGCGGCAGGCUUAACACAUGCAAGUCGAGCGGGCAUCCUUGUGGUGUCCGCGGCAGACGGGUGAGUAACGCGUGGGAACGUGCCCUUCGGUUCGGAAUAACUCAGGGAAACUUGAGCUAAUACCGGAUACGUGCGAGAGCAGAAAGGUUUAUCUGCCGAAGGAUCGGCCCGCGUCUGAUUAGCUAGUUGGUGAGGUUAUGGCUCACCAAGGCGACGAUCAGUAGCUGGUCUGAGAGGAUGAUCAGCCACACUGGGACUGAGACACGGCCCAGACUCCUACGGGAGGCAGCAGUGGGGAAUAUUGGACAAUGGGGGCAACCCUGAUCCAGCCAUGCCGCGCGAGUGAUGACGGCCUUAGGGUUGUAAAGCUCUUUUCUUCGGGACGAUAAUGACGGUACCGGAGGAAUAAGCCCCGGCUAACUUCGUG